UUUGCAAAUCGCUCGCGUGACCUGUGUCUAGGGGUGAAAGUCCAAUCGAACUCGGAAACAGCUGGUUCCUUCCGAGACAUGUCGUAGCAUGACCUCGACGGAGACCGUCGGCGGAGUAGAGCACUGAUUGAGGGAGCUGGAGGAGAAAUCCUUCACCCCUUUGUCAAACUCCAAAACCGCCGUCGUCGUAGAUGUCGGGAGUCCGGGCUGGGGGGUAAGCUUCUAGUCCGAGAGGGAAACAACCCAGACCGUGGUUAAGGCCCUUAAAUGUCGGCUAAGUGUAAUUAAAAGGGUGUCCCAGGCCCUAGACAGCUGGGAGGUGAGCUUAGAAGCAGCUAACCUUUAAAAAGUGCGUAACAGCUUACCAGUCGAGGUUUGGGGCCCCGAAAAUGGACGGGGCUCAAGCCGACUGCCGAUACCACGGAGCACGGCAACGUGAUCUGGUAGGAAGGCGUCCUGCGUGGGCAGAAGUAGGGCUGUAAAGUCCUGUGGACCGCGCAGGAACGAAGAUCCUGGCAAUAGUAGCAGCAUAGUCGGGUGAGAAUCCCGACCGCCGAAAGGGCUAGGUUUCCUCGACAAUGUUCGUCAGUCGAGGGUUAGUCGGUCCUAAGAUACACCGUAAUUCGAGUGUGUCAAAAGGGAAACAGGUUAAUAUUCCUGUACCACGCGACAUUAAAACCUGACGCCUCAGGGUAGUCCGCACAGUGAUGCCAAACUGUCCAAGCGUAUUAAGUCCGCGGAGAACCGUAAUGGUGAGAAACGGACCAAAGCGUGAUGGGGAAACUCGGAUAAUCCCAGGGGCCCGUGAAAAAGGGAGUCGAUGGCCGUACCAAGAUCUGACACAGGUGCCCCUAGUUGAGAAGACUAAGGCGUGUCGGCAUAACCCACCCAAGGGAAAUCGGCAAAUUAGCCCCGUAACUUCGGGAGAAGGGGUGCCUGCUCUGAGAAGAGCAGGUCGCAGUGACUAGGGGGCUCUAACUGUCUAAUAACAACACAGGUGAUUGCUAACCCGAAAGGGCAAGUACAAUCACUGAAUCCUGCCCAGUGCAGGUACCUGAACAUCCGGUUCAACGGGAAGAAGGGCCUGUCAACGGCGGGGGUAACUAUGACCCUCUUAAGGUAGCGUAGUACCUUGCCGCUUAAUUGGCGGCUUGCAUGAAUGGACCAAUGAGAGCCCUACUGUCCCUGGGUGGAACCCGGUGAACUUUACAUUCCAGUGCAGAGUCUGGAGACCCCUGAUGGGAAGUGAAGACCCCGUGGAGCUUUACUGCAGCCUGUCGCUGGGAUUCGGUUGUGCAUGCGCAGCGUAGGUAGGAGGUGUCGAUCCACCACUUCUGGGUGGUGGGGAGCCUACCCUGAGACACUACCCUUGCACGGCUGUGUCCCUUACCGUGGGAACGGGACCCCGAUAGGUGGGCAGUUUGGCUGGGGCGGCACGCCCUUGAAAAGAUAUCAAGGGUGCCCAAAGGUUGACUCAAGUGGGUCAGAAACCCACUGAAGAGCGUAAGGGCAAAAGUCAGCCUGAUGUGAUUCAGCACAGUAGUGGAUCACAAGACGAAAGUCGGGCCUAACGAACCUUUAUGCCCUAUUGGUGAGGGCUAAAGAUGACAGAAAAGCUACCCCGGGGAUAACAGAGUCGUCACCGGCAAGAGCACAUAUCGACCCGGUGGCUUGCUACCUCGAUGUCGGUUCUUUCCAUCCUGGCCGUGCAGCAGCGGCCAAGGGUGAGGUUGUUCGCCUAUUAAAGGAGAUCGUGAGCUGGGUUUAGACCGUCGUGAGACAGGUCGGUUACUAUCUGUCAGGGGUGUUUUGCGGUCUGAGGGCAGGUUGGCUUUAGUACGAGAGGAACAAGCCAACGGCGCCACUGGUCUAUCGGCUGUCUGGCAAGGCAAAGCCGAGCAGCUACGCGCUAACGGAUAAGGGCUGAAAGCAUCUAAGCCCGAAACUGUACCCGAAAAGAGACCGUGUUGGGGGCUCUCGUAAAAGACGAGAUUGAUAGAGCCGGGAUGUACGCACCAAGGCAACGAGGUGUUCAGUUCGCGGCUACUAACAGCCCUCGCAGAAAAGCACC
rnacentral:rRNA from 1 species